ensembl:snRNA U5 U5 spliceosomal RNA
AUGCUCUGGUUUCUCUUCAUAACAAAUCUUUCACCUUUUACUAAAGAUUUCUGUGGAGAGGAACAAUUAUGAGUUAUAACUGAAUUUUUUGAUAUCUUGCUUAGGCAGGGCU